UGAAUUUAAGCAUAUCACUAAGCGGAGGAAAAGAAACUAACAAGGAUUCCCCUAGUAGCGGCGAGCGAAGAGGGAAAAGCCCAGCACCGAACCUCGCGCCCCCGGGUGUCGCGGAAUGUGGUGUUUAGGAGGACCGUGCGCGUCUGUCCGGUAUCGUCCAAGUCUCCAUGAAUGGGGCCAGCAACCCAGAGAGGGUGUCAGGCCCGUAGGACUGAGCCGCGACGGCGUAUUGGGUCUCUCCUUAGAGUCGGGUUGCUUGAGAGUGCAGCCCUAAGUGGGAGGUAAACUCCUUCUAAGGCUAAAUACGGCCACGAGACCGAUAGCGAACAAGUACCGCGAGGGAAAGUUGAAAAGAACUUUGAAGAGAGAGUUCAAUAGUGCGUGAAACCGUUCAGGGGGUUAAACGGGUGGGCCCUCGAAGGUCGAACGCUCCCUACUCGCGUCUCCGCUCGUCGGUCCGUGCCGCUUUUCCGAUCUCGCUACGGGACGGAGCGGUGCGGUAACUGGUGCGAGCGGGGGCGUUUAGUUAGGGGGCCAGUAGGACUCCGCAACCGUCUGGAGCUAGUCGUCAGAAGGGCUCUGGUAGAAAGCCUCCUCGCGGGGUGGACUCCGGGGUUCCGGGCGAUCUCUCCGGCCGUGAACCGGCAUUCCUCUCGGCUGGCGUCCGUGACGAGCUUCCCCUUCACGAGGGGGGAGUUGUCGGUUGCGGGCGUCACCGGGGGACGCUAGCGGAGAGUAGAGUCGGGUCCCACCCGACCCGUCUUGAAACACGGACCAAGGAGUCUAACAUGUGCGCGAGUCGUCGGGAUUAUAACUAAACCCGAAGGCGCAAUGAAAGUGAAGAUCGACCUCGUCGUUGAUCUAGGGGAGAUCCCGUUCUGCUCCGGUAGCUCGGGCGCAUCCCCGGGGCGUCGAAGCCGCGUUGCCGGCUAGACGCACCAAGAGCGUACACGUUGGGACCCGAAAGAUGGUGACCUAUGCCUGGCCAGGACGAAGCCAGGGGAAACCCUGGUGGAGGUCCGCAGCGAUUCUGACGUGCAAAUCGAUCGUCGGAGUUGGGUAUAGGGGCGAAAGACUAAUCGAACCAUCUAGUAGCUGGUUCCCCCCGAAGUUCCCUCAGAA
rnacentral:rRNA from 1 species